GUCUCCCCUGUCGUACGUCGCUUGGCGGCUAGCCGGCGUCUGCGUCCGCCUCGGCCAUGACAAGCGUCGCCCAGCCCCUCCCCGCUCUCCAGCUCACCCCUAGAGCAGCAUGCAGUUCGUCUGCGAGCCCCUGCAACCCUGCCAGCUAGCUCUGCUUCCAUGCCCAUUGCCAGAGACUAUCUUCGUUGAUCUUAUCCUCGGCCUCCGACGAACCGAGGUCGAGUGCCUAUAUAAGGAGGCCCCCAAGCUCUGUGAGCACCCCAUCCUCCUCCCUGGACCCGCACCUAGCUUUCGAACACCCCAAUUUACCGGAGCCAUCCGCGAUGCUCACAUGCAGCGGCAUCGCCGUCGCCAACGUCCGGUCGAAUUCAAGCAAUCCUGAACCCCUCCCGCUCCACCUUGGCCACCAUUAUCUCAACCACGGUCCCUAGGUUCCAUCCCCAAAGCCAAAUCUCAUCGGUAGCGAAACGUAGGCAGAAGCCAGUGCGUCGGAGCCUCCCUUCCGCAAUGGUUGGAGGUGUGCUCACUCCCGAGCUCUCCGACGACUCCCAUGCCCCCACAAGAUGAGGCCCUUCCCCCUGAGCACGCCGGUGUGCCCAGCUCUAGGAAUGGUGCUUCCUAGCACCCGCAAUCGCCGUCGGCGUCGGCCCUUCACUGUGCCCGUGCGCGCGAGGGGGGAGAAGACGAACCCAAUAGGUGGGUUCCACCUGUUGGCGGGUCAACCUCGGCCUCGAUGGCGCAGAUCCCAGGGUGUGUUUUCGCUUUAGAAAGGUGUGUUCUCUGGAGUGCAUUUUCCCUUUCCCGAAAAUUUAUUUGUGGUCAAAAACGUUUUCUUCUCUCUUUUAUUUAAAAACAUAUUUUUGACCAAACUUUGACUUCUUAUAACUUUUAAACUACAACUCCAAAUGAGUUGAUUUUUUUUCUGUUGUUUCUCAAAUUUCACCUAGUUUAUUCUAUUAUUUAUUUCAAAAAAAUUAAAACAACUUUGAUACACGUUCUUAGGAAUGUGUUUUAAUUCCGGUAUUUUCAAAAAUAGGACAAUUUGGAGGGAAGAACUCUUUCAAGAUUUUUGGGGUGCACACCACCCUUAUUCAUACCAAAGGCGAGCAUCUUGAACCACGAUUUGUCUUAAGUGUGUGAUUGGUUGUUGCGAUGAAUGGAUGCAUGGUUAUGUUACUCAGAUAAAAACUCCCAUUAGUAACAUAUUUUGCAUGAAAUCAUGUGAUGGGUAUUUAUUUGUUGUUGAUCAUAUAAUCCUAGUGAUGAGUGGGUACUCCCUCAUUGACGGGGAUACGGCCCCUGGAUAUACCAAAGCGUAGGGAAUCCCUCUCGAAGACAUCCGGGCCAGCUGGGCCCCCUACUGGUCGGCUAGCUACACGCGGCUCACCUAGCCACUGUGUGGUGGGCCGACUAGUGGUGUUUGACCCUCCCCUGGGCGCCCUCGACCGGUUGGCCACAGACGGCCCACCUGGCUAGUGCACGAUGGGCCGGCUCACAGCAGCCGGCGGGUCAGUGCCUCCUUCCGGCCAUACUGACGUACGACGUACAAGACCAUACCCUAACUGCAGGGGCACGCAUGGCUACAGUGCGCAUGGACAGGCCUGGCGCGGCUACAGGCGUCAUGAUGCAAGGCUUCGCAUGGCUACAACGCCACCAGUCACGCCCGAGACUGACCAGGCGAGGCGGACCUAUAGCUAGGGCCUACCCCUACCAACUCCCUAGCGGCCGGCACAUUAUCCGCUACGGCACACGUCCGGUGGGACCCAUGUCGGACAAGACCCGACAGCCGAAGGGACCCACGGCUACCCGGAGAGGCUGGCAGCUGGGCCCCGCACACCAUUUGUACCCAUUAUUGUAUACAUUUGGGUGCACUAUAAAGCCCAACCCCAGUCCCCUGAGAGAGGGGGGAGCAACUAGCGAAUCCUUAGACACACACCAUCGAGGCAGCGAGAGCUUCGCCUCCCUCCUUACGAGCAGCUCAACGAGCACCACUGUAUUGUGAUCUCAUAUAGUCACACCGGCAGGACUAGGGUUUUUACCUCACUGGAGGGCUCUGAACCUAGAUAGAUAGGCGUCAUGUGUCUCGCGCCAUCACACGUUCCCAGACACCGUCAGUUUCCAUUGGCCUCAAACCACGAUCUAAGACACCCUGUGCAUCUGCCGUGAAAAUACCACGACAGUUGGCGCCCAACAUGGGGCGGGCAGCGACACCGGCCGGAUUAAUGUUCUCAGCGGGACACUUCACCCCUUCUGGCGAGCGCAUAGCACAUGGCUUGGUCGUGCGCUACGGCGCGCUCGAUUGUGUCAAUGGCAACGCCCACCGCAUCGAGGACGCAUACUUCCCCGACAACGGCCCCAUCCUCGCCUUCGUGUCCCACAGCGUCUAUGUCGCCGUCGUCUCUCACGAGUACCCCGAUGAGGUGCUUGAUACGUCUCAAACGUAUCUAUAAUUUUUGAUGGUUUCACGCUGUUAUCUUGCCUUCUUUGUAUGUUUUAUGUACCUUUUUAUAUCUUUUUUGGGACUAACUUAUUGAUUCAGUGCCAAGUGCCAGUUCCUGUUUUCUCCGAGUUUUUGACUCUUUUCAGAUCUGAUUUUGGAACGGAGUCCAAACGGAAGAAAAACCCCGAAAUGAUUUUUUCCCGAACGGAAGAAGUCCAGGGGGCUUUUGGGCCAAGCCAGGUGGGCUCCAGGGAGACCACAAGCCCCCACUCCGCCACCAGGGGGAGGCGGCAGUGGGCAGGCUUGUGGCCUCCCUGGCCGCCCCCUGACCUAGGUCUUGCGCCUAUAUAUUCCCAAAUAUUCCACAAAAAAUCAGGGGAGCCUCGAAAAUACUUUUCCGCUGCCGCAAGCUUCCGUUUCCGCGAGAUCUCAUCUGGAGACCCUUCCCGGCACCCUACCAGAGGGGACUUUGAAGGUGAAGGGCUUCUUCAUCAUCAUCAUCGCCCCUCCAAUGACUCGUGAGUAGUUCACUUCAGACCUACAGGUCCGUAGUUAGUAGCUAGAUGGCUUCUUCUCUCUCUUGGAUCUUCAAUACAAAGUUCUCCAUGAUCUUGAUGGAGAUCUAUCCGAUGUAAUCCUCUUUGGCGGUGUGUUUGUCGAGAUCCGAUGAAUUGUGGGUUUGUGAUCAGAUUAUCUAUGAUAUAUAUUUGAGUCUUUGCUGAUUUCUUAUAUGCAUGAUUUGAUAUCCUUGUAAGUCUCUCCGAGUCUUGGGUUUUGUUUGGCAAACUAGAUCUAUGAUUCUUGCAAUGGGAGAAGUGCUUGGUUUUGGGUUCUUACCGUGUGGUGACCUUUCCCAGUGACAGUAGGGGCAGCAAGGCACACAUCAAGCAGUUGCCAUCAAUGGUAAAAAGAUGGGGGUUUUAUCACUGGUUUGAGAUUAUCCCUCUACAUCAUGUCAUCUUGCUUAAGGCGUUACUCUGUUCUUAUGGACUUAAUACACUAGAUGCAUGCUGGAUAGCGGUCGACGUGUGGAGUAAUAGUAGUAGAUGCAGAAAGUAUCGGUCUACUUGUUUUGGACGUGAUGCCUAUAGAUAUAAUCAUUGCCAUAGAUGACGUCACGACUUUGCCCGGUUCUAUCAAUUGCUCGACAGUAAUUUGUUCACCCACCGUCUAUUUGCUUUCAUGAGAGAAGCCACUAGUAAACACUACGGCCCCCGGGUCUAUUAACACCUAUCGUUUCCACUUUUGCUUUUACUUUGCUUUGUUACUUUGUUGCUUUCCAUCGUUUACAUCUCCGCUUUUACUUUGCUUUGUUACUUUGUUGCUUUCAGUUCUCACUUGGCAAACAAUCUAUAAGGGAUUGACAACCCCUUCAUAGCAUUGGGUGCAAGCUUUUUGUGUUUGUGCAGGAUCUUGAGAUACUCUUCCGCCGGAUUGAUACCUUGGUUCUCAAACUAAGGGAAAUACUUACCGUCGCUGUGCUACAUCACCCUUUCAACUUCGACGGAACACCAACGCAAGUCUCCAAGGCCACGGGGGAAAUCCUUGGCAUACUUGCCUAGGAAGUCCCUUAAGGCGUACCCGCAGCUGAAGGAUUCCCGGUGCCGUCGACGCAACUAUUUCUGGCGCCGUUGCAAGGGAUACACAACAGCCAUCAGAAGUAUUUCUGGCAUCGUUGCCGGGGAGGAGAAAUCAAGAUCUAUCCAAGUAGGUCUCACAAACUCUUCUCUUGCAUUUACUUUUGUUGCCAGUUGCGUCUUGUUUUCCUCUCCCCCACUUCACAUUUGCCAUUUUCAUUCGCCUUUCUCCUUCGUCGUUUUCUCUUGCCCUUGCCGUUUUCCUUUGCCGGUUUCUUGCUUGCUUCUGUGCUUGUUUGUUUGUUGAAGAAAUCAUGUCUGAAAACACCAAACUUUGCGACUUCUCGAGCACUAAUAAUAAUGAUUUUAUUAGUACUCCGAUUGCUGCCGCCACUAGUGCGGAAUCGUAUGAAAUCAACGCAGCUUUGCUGAAUCUUGUUAUGAAAGAGCAAUUCUCUGGCCUUCCUAGUGAAGAUGCCGCAUCCCAUCUCAAUACCUUCAUUGAGCUUUGUGAUAUGCAAAAUAAAAGAGAUGUGGAUAAUGACGUGAUUAAGUUGAAACUUUUUCCUUUCUCGUUGCGAGAUCGCGCAAAAACUUGCUUUUCUUCUUUGCCUAAAAAUAGUAUCGUUUCUUGGGAUAGGUGCAAAGAUGCUUACAUAUCCAAGUAUUUUCCGCCGGCUAAGAUCAUCUCCUUACGUAACGAUAUCAUGAAUUUCAAGCAACUUGAUCAUGAACAUGUUGCACAAUCUUGGGAGAGGAUGAAGCUUAUGAUUAGAAAUUGUCCCGCUCAUGGCUUGAGUUUGUGGAUGAUUAUACAAAUCUUUUACGUUGGCUUGAAUUUCGCUUCUCGCAAUAUCUUGGACUCUUCCUCAGGUGGAACGUUCAUGGAAAUCACGUUAGGAGAUGCUACAAAACUCCUAGACAAUAUGAUGACCAACUACUCUCAGUGGCACACUGAACGUUCGCCUGCUAGCAAAAAGGUGCACGCUAUAGAAGAGAUUAACUCGCUUAGUGCUAAGAUGGACGAGUUGAUGAAUUUGGUUGCUAGUAGAAACGCUACCGUAGAUCCUAAUGACAUGCCAUUAUCUUCUUUGAUUGAGAGUAGCAACGCUAGUUUGGACGUGAAUUUUGUUGGUACGAACAAUUUUGGCAACAACAAUGCUUUUAGAGGAAACUAUGUUCCUAGGCCUUUUCCUAGUAACUCCUCUAACAAUUAUGGCAAUUCCUAUGACAACACUUAUGGAAAUCACAAAAAAUUACCCUCUGAUCUAGAGAGUAAUAUCAAGGAGUUCAUCAACUCUAAAAAGAUUUUCAAUGCGUCCAUAGAGGAAAAACUACUCAAAAUAGACGAUUUGGCUAAGAGCGUUGAUAGGAUGUCUUGUGAUAUUGACGCUUUGAAAGUUAGAUGCGCUCCUCCCAAGAUCAACUUGGAUGAAACUUUGAAAGCUAUGCGUAUCUCCAUGAAUGAGAGCAAAGAAAGAACCACCCAAAUUCGCACUAGACAUGAAUGGUUUAAAAGGGUGCGUUCUGGUGAUGCAAAUCACGAAGAUCUUAAAGUGCUUGGUGUGUCUCCUCUUGAAUCUUUGUUUUCGCGUGUGAAACCUACUUAUGGAGGGGCUGGAUAUGAAUCCACUUUGGUUGAAAAACGCCCCGAUGAUUCGGAGUCCACCUAUCUUGAUGAUAAUGGUGUGGAGAGUGGAGUAGAAGAAGUCAAUAUUUUGGGUAAUAAUGAAACUCCCACCUUGGAUUUCAAGGAAUCCAAUUAUGAUAAUUGCUCCUUGUUUGAAUGCAUUUCUUUGAUGCAAUCCAUUGCAAACUCUCCACAUGCUUAUAGCCAAAGCAAAGCCUUUACCGCGCAUAUCGUAGAUGCUAUGAUGAAAUCUCUUGAAGAGAAGCUCGAACUAGAAGUCUCGAUACCUAGAAAACUUCAUGAUGAGUGGGAACCUACUAUCAAAAUCAAGAUCAAAAACUAUGAGUGCAAUGCUUUGUGUGAUUUGGGUGCUAAUGUUUCCGCGAUUCCAAAGUCUUUAUGUGAUAUUCUUGGUUUUCAUGAGAUUGAAGAGUGUUCUCUUAAUUUGCAUCUUGCGGAUUCCACUGUCAAGAAACCCAUGGGGAGGAUCGAUGAUGUUCUUAUUGUUGCAAAUAAGAACUAUGAACCCGUGGAUUUCAUUGUACUUGACAUAGAUUACAAUCCUUCAUGUCCCAUUAUUCUUGGUAGACCUUUCCUAAGGACUAUUGGUGCUAUCAUCGAUAUGAAGGAAGGGAAUAUUAGAUUUCAAUUUCCCUUAAAGAAGGGCAUGGAGAAGUUUCCUAGAAAUAAAAUAAGAUUGCCUUAUGAAUCUGUGAUGAGGGCUACUUAUGGUUUGAGCACCAAAGAUGACUAUACGUGAUUCCAUCAUUUUCGCCUAGCUAAGGGCGUUAAACAAAAGCGCUUGUUGGGAGGCAACCCAACGAAUCUACCCUUUUUCUUUCUGUUUUGUGUUUUCCACACUUUCAUAAUUCUGUUAUGAUUGUGUUUUUUUGUGUUUCUUUUUGCUUUUGUACCAAGCAAAACCGUUAUGAUUAGUCUUGAGGAUGAUCGUUUGGUCAUGAUGGGAAAGAGAGAAACUUUCUGCUCACGAAAAUAAUUUUCAUUUUUUUUCUAUAAGAGCUUUUGAGUUGAUUAUUUUUGCUGCUGAUUGCUACGCAAAUUCUUCAGACUGUCGUAAGUUUUCAGAAUUUUUGAAGUACCAGAGGUAUACGAAACAUACAGAUUGCUACAAACUGGUCUGCUGUUAACAGAUUCUGUUUUUGUUGUGUUGGUUGCUUAAUUUGAUGAAACUAUGGAUAGUAUCGGGGGGUAUUAGCCAUGGAAGAUUGAAAGUACAGUAACCCAACAUCAGCACAAGUAGAAUUUAAGUUUGCUACAGUACCUAAGUAAGUGGUGGCUUGCUUUCUUGUACUAAUAUUAUCACGAGUUUUUGUUUAAGUUUCGUGUUGUGAAGUUUUCAAGUUUUGGGUGAAGUUCUUAUGGACAAAAAGAUAAAGAGUGGCAAGAGCUCAAGCUUUGGGAUGCCCAAGGAACCCCAAGAGAUUUAAGGAUGUCGUAAAAUCCUAAUCUUGGGGAUGCCCCGGGAAGGCAUCCCCUCUCUCGUCUUCAAUCCACCGGAACGUUACUUGGGGCUAUAUUUUUAUUCACCACAUGUUAUGUGUUUUUCUUGGAGCGUCUUGUAUCAUAGGAGUCUUUUAUUUUUUUCUGUUGUGUCACAAUCAUCCUUGCUGCACACCUAGAGAGAGAGACAUGCACACACCAUGAUUUUGUCGAGCUUCACUUAUAUCUUUUGGUAGACAAUUCAGCUCACAUGUGCUUCACUUAUAUCUUUUGAGUUAGAUACUUUUGCUCUAUGUGCUUCACUUAUAUCUAUUAGAGCGCGGCGGUGCGUGGCUUGGUAGUUGAUCUAUGCUUUGAAAGUAGUCUCAAAAGGGGUAGUUAUCCAAAGGGAUACGAAAACUUCCACCUUCAUGUGCAUUAAAUAGCUAGAGAAGUUUGAUUCAUCUCAAUUAGUUUUGAGUUGUGGUUAUGGUAAUAUUGAAGUCAUGCUAGUAAGGUGUUGUGGAUCUAGAAAUACUUGUGUUGAAGUUAGUGAUUCCCAUAGCAUGCACCUAUGGUGAACUGCUGUGUGAUGAAAUCUGAGCAUGAUUAGUCUAUUGAUUAUCAUCCUUUGUGUGGCGGUCGGGAUCGCGCGAUUGUUUAUACCUACCAACCCUUCCCCUAGGAGUAUGCGUUGAAUUCUUUGUUUCGAUUACUAAUAAAACUUUUGCAACAAGUAUAUGAGUUCUUCAUGACUAAUGUUGAGUCCAUGGUUUAGAUGCACUUUCACCUUCCACCAUCACUAUCUUCUUAGUGUCGUGCAACUUUCGCCGGUGCACAAAACCCACCAUUAGCCUUCCUCAAAACAGCCACCAUACCUACCUACUAUGGCUUUUUCAAAGUCAUUCCGAGAUAUAUUGCCAUGCAAAUACCACCAUGAUAUGUGCCACCACAUCUACAUUACCUUUGCACGAUUGUAAGAUAUCUAGCAUGAUGUUUCCAUUGAUGUUUAUGCCAUGCUAGAUCAUUGCCACACUACACUACCGAAGGUAUUCCAUAUAGAGUCAUAGUUGCUCUAAGUUUUGAGUUGAAAGUGUGAUGAUCAUCAUUAUUGGAGCAUUGUCCCAUGUGAGGAAAUAAAAGAGGCCAAAGAAGGCCAUAAAAAAGAGGCCAAAGAGCCCACCAAAAUAAAAACAAAUGAGAGAAAAUCAGAGAAGGGACAAUGCUACCACUUUUUUCACACUUGUGCAUUUUGAGCGCCAUGAUCUUCAUGAUUGAGAGUCUCUCGUUUUGUCACCACCAUAUAGCUAGUGGGAAAUUCUCAUUAUAUAACUUGGCUUGUAUAUUCCAAUGAUAGGCUUCCUCAAAAUUGCCUUAGGUCUUCGUGAGCAAGCAAGUUGGAUGCACACCCACUAGUUUUCUUUAAGAGCUUUCACAUACUUGUAGCUCUAGUGCAUCAUUUGUAUGGCAAUACCUACUCAUUCACAUUGAUAUCUAUUGAUGAGAAUCUCCACAGCACAUUGAUAUGCCUAGUUAAUGUGACGAUCUUCUCCUUUUUGUUUUUCAACCUCCACCAUAUUCCACACCAUCUAUAGUGCUAUAACCAUGGCUCACGCUCAUGUAUUGCGUGAGGGUUGAAAAUGUUUGAGAAAGUAAAGGUGUGAAACAAUUACUUGGCCAAUACCGGGGUUGUGCAUGAUUUAAAUUCGUUGUGCAAUGAUGAUAGAGCAUAGCCAGACUAUAUGCUUUUGUAGUGAUAACUUUCUUUUCGCCUUGUUAUUUGGAAAGUUCAUGAUUACUUUGCUAGUUUGCUUGAAUUAUUAUUGUAUCCACGUCAAUAGCAAACUAUUGUUUUGAAUCUAAUGGAUCUGAACAUUCACGUCACAUGUGAGGAAUUACAAAGACACCUAUGCUAGGUAGCAUGAAAGCAUCAAAAAUUCAUUCUUAUCACUUCCCUACUCGAGGACGAGCAGGAGUUAAUCUUGGGGAUGUUUGUUACGUCUCAAACGUAUCUAUAAUUUUUUAUGGUUUCACGCUGUUAUCUUGCCUUCUUUGUAUGUUUUAUGUACCUUUUUAUAUCUUUUUUGGGACUAACUUAUUGAUUCAGUGCCAAGUGUCCGUGUUUUUGUCUCUUUUCAUAUCUGAUUUUGGAACGGAGUCCAAACGGAAGAAAAACCCCGAAAUGAUUUUUUCCCGAACGGAAGAAAUCCAGGGGGCUUUUGGGCCAAGCUAGGUGGGAUCCAGGGAGCCCACAAGCCCCCACUCCGCCACCAGGGGAGGAGGCGGCGGUGGGCAGGCUUGUGGCCUCCCUGGCCGCCCCUGACCUAGGUCUUGCGCCUAUAUAUUCCCAAAUAUUCCGCAAAAAAUCAGGGGAACCUCGAAAAUACUUUUCCACCGCCGCAAGCUUCCGUUUCCGCGAGAUAUCAUCUGGAGACCCUUCCCGGCACCCUGCCGGAGGGGACUUUGGAGGUGGAGGGCUUCUUCAUCAUCAUCAUCUCCCCUCCAAUGACUCGUGAGUAGUUCACUUCAGACCUACGGGUCCGUAGUUAGUAGCUAGAUGGCUUCUUCUCUCUCUUGGAUCUUCAAUACAAAGUUCUCCAUGAUAUUCAUGGAGAUCUAUCCGAUGUAAUCUUCUUUGGCG
rnacentral:lncRNA from 1 species